rnacentral:tRNA from 1 species
GCCGCCGUAGCUCAGCCUGGGAGAGCACUCGACCUUUUGACCGAGCUGUCGUGUGUUCAAGUCACACCGGCGGCA